CCUACGGGGGGCAGCAGUGGGGAAUAUUGGACAAUGGGCGCAAGCCUGAUCCAGCAAUACCGCGUGUGUGAAGAAGGCCUGAGGGUUGUAAAGCACUUUCAAUAGGGAGGAAAAAAGUAGGUUUAAUACGUCUGCUCUUGACAUUACCUAUAGAAGAAGCACCGGCUAACUCCGUGCCAGCAGCCGCGGUAAUACGGAGGGUGCGAGCGUUAAUCGGAAGUACUGGGCGUCGGGCUGUCAAAUGCGACCUGAAAGCCCCGGGCUUAACCUGGGAACGGCAGUUGAAACUGGCAAGCUAGAGUUAGGUAGAGGGGAGUGGAAUUUCAGGUGUAGCGGUGAAAUGCGUAGAUAUCUGAAGGAACACCAGUGGCGAAGGCGGCUCCCUGGACCCAAACUGACGCUGAGGUACGAAAGCGUGGGUAGCAAACAGGAUUAGAUACCCGUGUAGUC
rnacentral:rRNA from 1 species